AGUGAACGCUGGCGGUAGGCCUAACACAUGCAAGUCGAACGGCAGCACAGGAGAGCUUGCUCUCUGGGUGGCGCGUGGCGGACGGGUGAGGAAUACAUCGGAAUCUACUUUUUCGUGGGGGCUAACGUAGGGAAACUUACGCUAAUACCGCAUACGACCUACGGGUGAAAGCAGAGGAUCUUCGGACCUUGCGCGAUUGAAUGAGCCGAUGUCGGAUUAGCUAGUUGGCGGGGUAAAGGCCCACCAAGGCGACGAUCCGUAGCUGGUCUGAGAGGAUGAGCAGACACACUGGAACUGAGACACUGUCGAGAAUCCUAGGGGAGGCAGCAGGGGGGAAUAUUAGACAAUGGGCGCAGGCCUGAUCCAGCCAUACCGCGUGGGUGAAGAAGGCCUUCGGGUUGUAAAGCCCUUUUGUUGGGAAAGAAAUCCAGCUGGUUAAUACCCGGUUGGGAUGACGGUACCCAAAGAAUAAGCACCGGCUAACUUCGUGCCAGCCGCCGCAGUAA
rnacentral:rRNA from 1 species